rnacentral:lncRNA from 1 species
AAGCACACGGGUGAUUAGCUGUGCUCUUUUCCUGUGCUUUACGCAUCUGAUCCUUUCUGAACAACUGAAGUCCAUAAAGAAAAAUAAGAGAUGAGACAAAAUGAAAGGAGGUAGAUGGAGAUUUUGCAGUUUGGAACAAUAUCAAUAGAUACACAGGAUGCAGCUCAGGAUACAUUAUCGUGUCCUGUCAGGCAGCAGGAGGAUAAGAACUCCAUAUUUUGAUGACACGACUAACUGGAUCAUUCUGCAUUUGUCUAGAAGCAGGUAUUAAUGUACUAUGAUGAUUUUAUUGGUAGAAUAUCUGCGAUGUUUCAUAUGUUUCCAGAGUAUGUGGCAGUUGAGCAAGGUCUUGGUAAUCUGAAUUUUUAGGUUAGAGAGUAGUCAUCUUAUUGCAUCUGCAUUCUUACAAAUCCUAUCCCUGUGUUCAGCUUCCAGAAGGGCUUAAGGUCACUCUCAAAUCCUUCUAAAGGUACCUAUCCAC